rnacentral:lncRNA from 1 species
ACAAAUCGUACCUCCCCUACGCCUUCUUCUAAAGACACCCCAUCGAUACACUGCUUGAACAGAGAAACUGAUACAAAGACCCCUAGCACCGAAGAGAAAAUCGGCGAAUGCCCAAAAUAAAAAUCGCCUCUGCCAUCUCCCUAACUAGAUCGAACCUGUCAGAACUCUGUUCCUCUGGUUUUGGGGUUUAAUUCCCUUUGAUUUUUAACUCGGAUUGGUUCUCUAUUAAAGCUGGUCAAUUGAGAGUUCAAUGGUUCGGAAUUGUGGCUCGCAAACUCAAAUGACUUUGAACGCGGUUUCAGAUUCGAUUGUAGUUAUGGUUUGUUGACUUCCUUGUAAUUGUCAGAAUUUUAUUUAAAUCAAAGGCCAAUUCUAGCUCAUUUCCAUCGUAUGAGGUCUGGGUUCAGUCGUGGAGGUACGUCGAGGUUGUUUAGAGGUCGCCGCUGCCCGUUCGAGGCUCAGUUGCCUGUUCGAGGUUGAGAUUCCGGUCCAGAUGCCUAGUCUAUAGCUCGCUCGAGUGCUUUGCUGUCCUAGAGCUGUAUUUGCAUUGUAUUUGCUCCAGAAUUUCAAUAAUUAGAAGGUCAGUUCUUCCAUUUCUUCACUGAAUUUUAUUCAUGUCCUGUUACUAGCGGGUAUAAAAAAUAUACAUCGUUGAUUCAUAGCAUUCAAGUUUUCCUUUUAUUGAUUUCUGUCUCGAUUGAUCUGGUUUGCUCCUUUUCUCAAAAUUGAAUUAAGUCAUGUGAAUUUCAAGCUAUUUGAGUUCUAAAAUGGUUCGUCAUGCCUUGUUGCGGCAGAUUUAAGCUUAGACUUUGACUACACUUGAUGGGAAGAAAAAGUAUUCCUCUGCGGUAUCGUGUCUGUGUUGAUUCUUUGUGUUAGAAUGUUUUGCUUUCUUUAUUAUGAAAAGAGAAAACAGAAAUGCUAGCUUUGGCUCAAUUAUUUUGCUAAGGAUAUUGACAGUUUGGCAAAUGUUGAACUUGAGUUGGAAUUUCAUGUGAACUCCUUUUUUGGAAUUUGAGACUAUUGUUUAUUUCGUUCUAGCUUAACGUUAAUUGUUUGCGUGGUGAUAUGAUUUUAUUGUUUGUGUAGUUGAUAUCCAUGGUUUUGAAUUUGUACACUUAGCUAUUUUCUCGUAAUGUUUACUCGAAUUGACUAUAGCUAUACGAUGUUUUCACAAUAUAGAUAUUGAGUUACUAAUCAUCAAUUGAACUAUGUAAUUAGAUUAAAGGAAUCGGGGGUGCAUUUCAUGUGACACGGUUCCAAUUCCAAACAAGGUUAGAUAAAGCGGGUCGUUAACCACGGGUGCAUUUCAUGUGACGUAGCUUGCGAUAUGUUUUAAAUAACCUUGAAUAUUUCUUAAAUAAAUAAAAUUAGUUUGAAAGUUUAUGGCCCUACAAAUGUAGUUUUCUUUUAAAUUUGAAUUAGAGGGAUGCCGUCCCGAAUAAUAAUGACAACUGCACGGCUCUCAUUUGGUUAAUCUUAUUUUGUCCUUAGAAUUUGGGAUGAUCCGUUUAGCAAAUUUCACAGCAUUCCCAAAGAUAAUAAUGCGUUAGUCUCUUUGGGUGCGUAUUUUAAUAACAUUAUCUUCCUAAACUCGGGUGUGCAUUUCAUGUUACCCAAAUCAAAUCCCAAAAUAUUCAAUAAAAUGUGUUUAAUAUUGCGGGUGCAUUUUAUGUGACACGGUCCAAAGACACAUUUUAAACGACGUUCAAUCUUCUUUUAAAAAAUAAUUGAGUAAAAGCGGUUUAAAAGUAAAAUUGGCACAUAGGUUCAUCAUGUAAUAAAAUCAGAUAAAUAAGCUAAAUACUACAGUUGAGCGACCGUGCUAGAACCACGGAAUCCGGGAAUGCCUAACACCUUCUCCCGGGUUAACAAAUUCCUGACUCGGAUUUCUGGUUCGCGGACUCUUAACAGAGUCAUAUUUUCCUCUGAUCGGGAUUCAACUGGUGACUUGGAACACCAUUAAUCUCCCAAGUGGCGACUCUGAAAUCUUAAUAAUAGAUCUCGUUUCGAUUGUCCUUUAAGUGGAAAAACACUUUUAUGCUCUUGCAGGUGUAGUGAAAAAGGAGGUGUGACAGCUCUGGUGACUCUGUUUGGGAUGGAACCCAAAAUCUCUAGUUCGGGGUUCAGAAUUCGAGCUUAGAAUAAUUGUUGUGCUUGGC